AGCCGACUGACGAGUCCCAAACAAGACGAAACGUGCGUUCCGGAU
rnacentral:hammerhead_ribozyme from 1 species